rnacentral:rRNA from 1 species
CCUAAUACAUGCAAGUCGAGCGAACAGAUAAGGAGCUUGCUCCUUUGACGUUAGCGGCGGACGGGUGAGUAACACGUGGAUAACCUACCUAUAAGACUGGGAUAACUUCGGGAAACCGGAGCUAAUACCGGAUAACAUAUUGAACCGCAUGGUUCAAUAGUGAAAGGCGGCUUUGCUGUCACUUAUAGAUGGAUCCGCGCCGUAUUAGCUAGUUGGUAAGGUAACGGCUUACCAAGGCAACGAUACGUAGCCGACCUGAGAGGGUGAUCGGCCACACUGGAACUGAGACACGGUCCAGACUCCUACGGGAGGCAGCAGUAGGGAAUCUUCCGCAAUGGGCGAAAGCCUGACGGAGCAACGCCGCGUGAGUGAUGAAGGUCUUCGGAUCGUAAAACUCUGUUAUCAGGGAAGAACAAAUGUGUAAGUAACUGUGCACAUCUUGACGGUACCUGAUCAGAAAGCCACGGCUAACUACGUGCCAGCAGCCGCGGUAAUACGUAGGUGGCAAGCGUUAUCCGGAAUUAUUGGGCGUAAAGCGCGCGUAGGCGGUUUUUUAAGUCUGAUGUGAAAGCCCACGGCUCAACCGUGGAGGGUCAUUGGAAACUGGAAAACUUGAGUGCAGAAGAGGAAAGUGGAAUUCCAUGUGUAGCGGUGAAAUGCGCAGAGAUAUGGAGGAACACCAGUGGCGAAGGCGACUUUCUGGUCUGUAACUGACGCUGAUGUGCGAAAGCGUGGGGAUCAAACAGGAUUAGAUACCCUGGUAGUCCACGCCGUAAACGAUGAGUGCUAAGUGUUAGGGGGUUUCCGCCCCUUAGUGCUGCAGCUAACGCAUUAAGCACUCCGCCUGGGGAGUACGACCGCAAGGUUGAAACUCAAAGGAAUUGACGGGGACCCGCACAAGCGGUGGAGCAUGUGGUUUAAUUCGAAGCAACGCGAAGAACCUUACCAAAUCUUGACAUCCUUUGACCGCUCUAGAGAUAGAGUYUUUCCCCUUCGGGGGACAAAGUGACAGGUGGUGCAUGGUUGUCGUCAGCUCGUGUCGUGAGAUGUUGGGUUAAGUCCCGCAACGAGCGCAACCCUUAAGCUUAGUUGCCAUCAUUAAGUUGGGCACUCUAAGUUGACUGCCGGUGACAAACCGGAGGAAGGUGGGGAUGACGUCAAAUCAUCAUGCCCCUUAUGAUUUGGGCUACACACGUGCUACAAUGGACAAUACAAAGGGCAGCUAAACCGCGAGGUCAAGCAAAUCCCAUAAAGUUGUUCUCAGUUCGGAUUGUAGUCUGCAACUCGACUACAUGAAGCUGGAAUCGCUAGUAAUCGUAGAUCAGCAUGCUACGGUGAAUACGUUCCCGGGUCUUGUACACACCGCCCGUCACACCACGAGAGUUUGUAACACCCGAAGCCGGUGGAGUAACCAUUUAUGGAGCUAGCCGUCGAAG